rnacentral:rRNA from 1 species
UACGGAAGGGGCGAGCGUUGUUCGGAACCACUGGGCGUAAAGCGCGCGUAGGCGGCCUUGCAAGUGCGGCGUGAAAGUCCUGGGCUCAACCUGGGGACGGCGCUGCGGACUGCACGGCUGGAGUCCGGAAGAGGGUGGUGGAAUUCCCGGUGUAGAGGUGAAAUUCGUAGAUAUCGGGAGGAACACCAGUGGCGAAGGCGGCUCUCUGGGCAGGUACUGACGCUGAGACGCGAAAGCAUGGGGAGCAAACAGG